rnacentral:tRNA from 1 species
UCCGCAGUGGUUCAAGUGGUAAAGAAUCUGCCUGCAAUGCGGAAGACCCAGGUUCAGUUCCUGGGUGGGGAA